ensembl:lncRNA
AAAAAUUCGAAGAACAAUUUAGAAGGUCCAAUAUUCAAUUAAUAGGGGUUCCAGGAAGGGACAAUAGAGUGGACAAAAGAAAGACUAUCUGUGAACUAAAUAAUUCAAGAAAAUUUCCCAAGAUUGGAGGGCAUGAGUUACUUCUGAAUGUCCAGCACAAUGAAUAAAAAUAAACCCACACCAGAACAUAUCCUCAAAUAAUUUCAGAAUCCUGAGCAUAUUAGUAAUACCUCCAGAUAUGGGGAUCGCGUGUAGGUGGGACGGAGACAGCGACCAGUCCAGACUGGAGCAGUGUGACUCCAGAAACUGCCGUGUCAUCACAAAGACCCCUGCUGCCAUGGUACUCCCCUCUUAAUUCUGGGAUGGGAUGUCCUGGUAAGGUACCCAGAUUCUACUCUGCACUCGGCUUGUCUUCACCACGGGCUGAUGAGUUCCUUCUCUCCCUGUGGAUGGUGAGUCCCUGGCUAUGGCCUGCUGACCUCAGUCAGCGGAGGGCACCCAUUUCACCCUUCAGAAGGGUGUGGCCUGGCCCUAUCCCUGGGAGCUGGAAGAGCCUCGGACAAGCUUACAACUGCACACUUCCUCUGACUACUCCUGGACAUCUGGCCCCUGACUCAUACUGCCCUACCAGACCCUCCAGCUGGAGCGAAUUUCUCGGGACUCGCUCAAUGACCUUGCCCACUGACUUCCCAGCAGGAGCCCUUCAAGCCUCCAGAAGGUAGAGGUGCGGAGCCAGCACUCUGGCACUCAGAAGACAGGUGUACCCCGGAGAUGCACUUGGCAGUGGUGGCCAGACGGAGAGCAAAGCCAAGGGAAUGGGUGAGCUUGCCUGGGAAGAGAAGGCGGAGUGGAAAGAGAAGAGGUCUGGGGACAGCAGAGGAGAAAGCAGACAGGUAAGAGGGAAGGGGGGAGGGCGAGUUUCCCAGAGGCCAUCGGGAAAGGUAGGAAGAGCUUUCUGGGGGAGACAGUGGCUGUUGUCAGCUGCUACUGGGGACAGACUUGAGGGACUUAGAAACAGAAGUCCCAGAGUGGAGGUGAGAAAUUUGCAGGGGCAGGGAGAAGUCCUAUCAGCAUUGAGGGGAGGCCAGAAUGGGAGACUGAAGUCUGGCAUCUGACUUCCUUGGUGGCCAGCCCCCUCGCGAGGCUGGCCAGGGUGGGUUCCCACGGGGAGUCUGGAACACGCGCGGGUGUGGGGUUUUAUUACGGGAGAGUGUUGAGUGAGGGGUCAACAGCAGCGGGGGGUCCUGACGAGGUGGGAGGGGAGGGUGUCCAGGACACAGGCAGUGGAUUCUUCCUGGAGAGAAGAGUCACUUACUCAACUCAAAGAGGACAGGAAGUAGGGAGGACCAGGGAGUCCUAAUUCUGAAUCAUUUCUACCAACACCAGACCUGCUCUCGUUUCUUUUGGUUUUUUUUUAAGAUUUAAUUACUUAAUUAAUUUGAGAGAGAGAGCACAGGUGUGCAUGCAAGGGGGUGCAGAGAGAGAGAGAAUCUCUAGCAGACACCCCGCUGAGUGCAGAGCCCGAUGCGAGGCUCGAUCUCAUGACCCUGAGAUCAUGACCUGAGCUGAAAACCAAGAGUCAAGGGCUUAACUGACCUGAGCCCUACCCCCCACCCCAGGCGCCCCUGGUUUCCUUUAUCUUGAUGCAACAGCACAUGAAUGAACAAAACAAAGUUCUUCUGACCUCACAACCCCUCCCCCACCCCUGUACUAUUUUUCAUCUCCCUUUUGCAGCACAACUCAAGAAUUCUCUACAUUCUGACUUCUCUCCUCCCAAACCCUUGUAAAAACCUGCCUCAGUCUGGUGAUAGGUCGCCGUUCGCCAAAACUGCUCUUGGUGAGCAGACCGCAUUGCUACCGAGCCAACGUCCAUUUGUGUCUUUCGUAUCAUCAGUAUCGCUAGACACAGGUUCUCACUCCCUUUCCCUUGAGGCUCUUUCUUCCCUUAGUUUCAGGGACACCACGGUGCCUUCCUUUCCCUCCUUCCUGCUCUUCUCUCAGACCUCUGAACGCUAGAGUCUGUCCUGAACACUCGAGUCUGUCCUUCAUCCUCUUCUCUUCCCCACUCACUCUCCUGGUGAUCACACCCCGAUGUCAUGGCUUUACAAACACCGUCUCUGCCCGACACAAUCACAAAUGUAUGCAUGUUGCAUCUUUACUUCCGUAGGCUGCGGUGGCCGAAGUAGCGAGGGCAAGAGUACAGGAGGUAAGCUUGAGGAGGCAGAUAGAUGAAGCAGAUCCUGAAGGACCUUACAAGGCCGUUUGCUCCACUUUGGCUUUUACUCUGAGUCAGAUGGGAAGCACUGAAUUAUUCUGAACAGAGGAGAGACAGGAUAUGACUCACUUUUUAAAAAAAUUAUCCUAGGGCCGCCCGGGUGGCUCAGUCAUUGGGCGUCUGCCUUCGGCUCAGGUCAUGAUCUCAGGGUCCUGGGAUCAAGCCCCGCAUUGGGCUCCCUGCCCAGCAGGAAGCCUCCUUCUCCCUCUCCCUCUCCCCCUGUUUGUGUUCCCUCUCUCACUGUCUCUCUCUCUGUGUCAAAUAAGUAGAUAAAAUCUUUUAAAAUAAAUAAACAAAUGUGUAAAUAACUAAAAAGCUA